UACGGAAGGCAGCAGUGGGGAAUAUUGCACAAUGGGCGCAAGCCUGAUGCAGCCAUGCCGCGUGUAUGAAGAAGGCCUUCGGGUUGUAAAGUACUUUCAGUCGUGAGGAAGGUGUUAAGGUUAAUAACCUUAGCAAUUGACGUUAGCGACAGAAGAAGCACCGGCUAACUCCGUGCCAGCAGCCGCGGUAAUACGGAGGGUGCGAGCGUUAAUCGGAAUUACUGGGCGUAAAGGGCACGCAGGCGGUUAAUUAAGUUGGAUGUGAAAUCCCCGGGCUUAACCUGGGAAUGGCAUUCAAGACUGGUUAGCUAGAGUCUUGUAGAGGGGGUAGAAUUCCAUGUGUAGCGGUGAAAUGCGUAGAGAUGUGGAGGAAUACCGGGUGGCGAAGGCGGCCCCUGGGACAAAGGACUGACGCUCGAUGUGCGAAAGCGUGGGGAGCAAACAGGGAUUAGAUACC
rnacentral:rRNA from 1 species